AUAAAUAGUAAAAUGGGAUAAUAAAUAGUGAUAAUACUGAUAAGGCAAUUCAUGAAUGAAGGUUUGGUAUCGUUAAAAACACGAUUAACAUAGCAGGACUUUUACUGUGACAGUUACGUUAUGGGACUUUUAUUUUGACAUGCGUUUCCACGCAUUCAGCUUUCCGCGGAGCCGUUCCAGUCAGUUGAGCUGAGAAGAGCUCGAAAGCUGAAGGAAAGACUUCGUUUCUUCGGCUCCACCUUGGAGCUAGAUAUUGAUAGAAAAUUAAUUCUAAGUUAAAGAUACCUACUUCUAAGUUUCAUUUUGGACCACCGAGCGACCUGCUCUGUAAAUCUUUUGUGUUUUGAAGAGCAAGAAGCUGCGCUUCGUCGUGUAUUGUUUCUGUUGAAUCGUCUCGGUGAAGUUUUUUGGACCUGGAUUCCGCUGUGGAUUGAUGACUGCGUUUGAUGGCGAGCCACCCACCCCAUUGAGUCGGAUCCUGUCCUGUGUCAUUGUACGUGGCGCAUAUGUGGUAGGGUUGUGACCUGCCUGUGUCACAACAACACUGACUGACUGACUUGAGUUGUUACUUUAACGGUUUACAAACUGAACUAAGGCCUUGAACUGAACGGAACUACUAUAAAGGAACUACUUUUUCUUUUCUUUUUCUUGAACAACUGAAAGGAACUCUUUUCUCUUUGAGGAUUUAAAGGACUGAUUUAAAGGACUGUUCCCAACUUUUGGAAAAUAGACAAUUACUCACUUUUGAAGGACAAUUCAUUUUAUUUUAUUUUAAAGGGUCAAUUUUUUUCUUUUAUUUUGGGAAUAUGUACAUAUUUUCUACCUUGCAAUUCAUAACUAAAGAAAGAAAAAAAGUA